GGGCUGAUCGCUGCAUUCCGUGCGGCGUAUAGCAGCAAAAGCCUGCAUGCGAUGGGGCGCGAGGCAAGGGUAAGGAUGGUCAAGGAGUAUGACAAUGAGGUGGUGAGCAACAUGGUUCUGAAAAGGCUAAAGGAGAUCAGUGAAUACCAGCUUUCGCGCCCUCGCACAGCGAGAUCCCUGGAUUUGGCGAAAGACCCAGUACCAACCGAUGUGCACAUAUGUGCCAUGCUCCCUAAGGCUAGUAUCCGUGUGCACCGGACAACACCAGCCCUGAAGAUUGCUGUGGUGUCGACAGCACCUCCACGGCGGUGUGGGAUUGCUACCUUCAACACAGCUCUACUGCGCUACUUGCGGCCACUGCUGCCCCAAGGCAGCUCAGUUGAAGUAUUUCCGCUGGUCGGCGAUAUGGAGGCGGCGCCAUUUGGUAUGGAUCCUACCAUGCAUGUUAUACGGCAAGAAAACUAUGGAGACUACAUCGCGACAGCUCGCCUCAUAAAUGAUGGUGGCUUUCAUGCAGCCAUAUUACAGCACGAGUUUGGGAUCUGGGGUGGUACCACUGGAUGUUUGGUUGUUUGCUUUUUAAAAAUGCUGGAGGUGCCAGCUGUUACUGUCAUUCACACGCUCAGCGACAACCUGGGAAACUCGGACCAAUACAUUUUGCAGCAAUUAUCGGCAGCAUCCACAGCAGUUGUCGUUAUGUCUGAAUCCUCCCGGAACAAGCUGGGGGCGUUCCACGGCAUCCCGGGCAACAACGUCGUGGUUUUGCCACAUGGAGCGCCAGUGAUAUCUGCUGUGGACCCGCUUGCAGCGAAGGCAAUGCUAAACCUGACUGGAAGGACUGUACUGUUGACGCACGGCCUAAUAAACCCCAUGAAGGGUGUUGAUCUGGUGCUGGACGCCUUGCCCACAAUCGUAAAGGAGUUCCCCGCCGUGGUGUAUUUAGUCGUUGGCGAGCCCCACCCGGACUGUGGCUGGCCUUGCGCGAAUUACUAUGAGCAGCUGGUCAAGGCUGUUUCAGAUCAUCGUAUCAUGGACCACGUCAGGUUUGUGACCGAGUUCAUCAAUGAUCAGUUGUUGUUGCAAUACGUCCAGGCGGCUGAUAUCUACGUCCUGCCGUAUAAGGAUCGCAUCACGACCAACUCAGGCACCCUUACUAUGGCCCUUGCCGCUGGGAAAGCAAUAGUGUCUACCCCCUUCGAUCAUGCCGUGUCGGUGUUGCCGGGCCGCGGUGUGCUAGUAGAUUUUGAAAGCCCCACCUCGCUCCAAGAAGGAAUAUUGCAGCUGCUUCGUGAUGACGGCCUCAGAGUGAAGUACCAACAGGCAGCCAGAGAGCUGUCGUCCGGGAAGGAUUGGCGGUCAGUAGCCGGGGGAUACUUGUCACUGCUGCAAAAUAUAACGGCGUGAAGUCAGGUAGAUGACAGUAUGACCGAUGACAGGACCCCUGUAGCAUGGGGUUAUGCAAUGACCAGGGAUGCGCUCAGUGGCAAAUAAGUCGUGCAUUUGCGGGUUGCCACGAUACACCGUAAUCACCGAUGGCCUUGUAUGGCCCUUUCACCAAUUAUAGUGGCGCGGUUGUGGCCGAAACACACUUUUCGCCGUGCUGCAGUGGGGAUUUUAGGUCCUGCAUAGCUUGGCCGCUUACCCGGUUAACGAUGGGUAGUGUUGUGUAGAGCGUCGAAGAAACGUAUAUCCUGGUCACGGAAAGUAGCACAGUGUGUGCGUUUUACAGAAUUAGGAUGCGGCUGUGUGUUCGUUGCGACAUCACGAUCCUUGCGGCGGCUGUAUCAUAUUUCAAGGACUUGGCCUAGCUGUGUGUUUUCUGUGCUCUUAAUUCAUGUUGUGCUGGCUGCGCAUACGCAUUACGAACUCGAAUUUAUCGUUUUCAUUCUAUAUGUUUGGUGUGACAUCAGUGUGUGGGAGUGGAGCGAUGUUAUGAUGUUAGCAUCAUAGGCGAGGGCUGUGUACUUGCUUGUCAUGAACGCGUAGCACUGCCGUUUUUGUCUGUUUUCCCUCGUUAUUGUGCUGAGCCAUUCCUGGUUUAUAGGACGUUGCGGCCACUGGGUUUGUAGAGGGUAUAGUGCUCUUGCUUUUUGCAAGCAAUGGCUUGUAACACACAAUCACAUCGAAGGGCGCUGGAGGUCGAGUCAGUAUUUAGCGAGCGCUUUCUACGCCCUCAUAUCAAUUGGAUUUUAAUCUGGUAAGCGGCUUGGACAACGUAAGGUAUGGUGCAGUCUUUCAACAGGGGUCCUCUGAUCCCACAUGCAUGUAACAUGGCGGUGGUUCGAUGUUGAGAAUUUAUGGUGUCACAUCUCACAUGGUGGGGAUGGAGUGAUAAGUGUCGUAGUUGGGAAUGGUACCGUGCAAUUCAUUUCCUCCUUUCAUCGUGCUCUGCUUAUUGCUUUUGACAUGGCAGCUUUGUGUUCGGUAUGGCAAGAGUUCACAGCUGCCUACCAUAGGUUUGGUCCCACACUUGCUCCAUUGCACAUUUGAUGUUCCUGCUAGACAGUGGUUGGCUGCCACCAUGGCUCGGUUGGACGCCAGCAGCAAGCCAGCACGAUGGUACUGCCACUACCUUCUUGUGUUUGCCUCGGUAUGAGGGGGUUCAGUUGAAGUGCUCACUGAAUAUCAAUAGUGGCGUGACCCUUGUGACCCUAACGAAACACCCUCAUACCACCCUCACGAACUCUAAAAUUAAGGUGCUUUAUGGCUAUGAAUUUGGAGAACGGCAUUCUUAUAUGCAUUCAAACGCAUGUUCAGAACUACGGCCCCAAAGAACAUGCCUAAGGAAAUGGGCCCUGAGCACAGGGACCGUUCAAACUGUGACCCAUGGGAGCCAUGUAAUCCAGCAGUAGGGGGCCCAGGCCGUUGUGCCCUGGUCAGUGACCUCUGUUGCUGGGGCAGGGGUCCAGGACGGAUUGUUUGACCACUAGCGAAUGCCUCUUGGCAGCACUGGCUGCGGUAGUGGCCGGGCAGGCAAUUACACUCCCAUGUGGCCAACGUGCGUCGUUGCUGGCUUUUGCAAAUACACAUACCCGACUGGUCAGGAGAACAGCCGGAAGAUUCACCCUCGCUUCAUUCCAGUUAGUCUCUAUCAAAGCUGCUGUUUACCCCAUAGUACCGUGUACCGAGAUGGCAGGGCCUUUGCCGCCUCACAUGCAGCAGCAGCAAUAGCAGCCCAGGGUGCGCGAAAUGCUGUCGCUUUCUACAUCUGUAAUGGGACGGAGGGACGGCAGGAACACCAUUGUCUAAAGGGUGUGACCUAACAGAGCCGGGUUAGUCCGCAUCACUACUUUUCCCUAUCGCAGUGCGGACAUAGCAGAGGAUAUGGUGACAGUUGCGAUGGACAAGAGGGGCUUGCUAUUGCAAUUCCAAAUAUAUGCAUCCGGUCGCCUUUCCCACUACUCCCACAUAACAUCACGAUUAUACAUUAGCUGGUUUCUGUGGGACUACAUGCCCGUGCACUACCACGCCCAUAAACUGCUGCCGUACAUCCCAUCUGUACUUCGCAGGUCGUUUAAGAGGCUGCCCUUCUUCGUAUACGCCUACGUUAGCUCGGAGAACCCUCCACCCUUGAGUUUAUGCAGCGCCCGCUGCCGUUAUUUAGUAUUCCAUCGACGCCACGAUCUAUUGUACAUGCGACAUGUGCGUUUAUGCGAGUCUCAGCUCUCGAGCUGGCGGACUUUGUUCUUAGUCACCCAGGACCACAACGGCCCAACGAAGACUCGUCCAGGGAAGGCUCCGGCCCACGUCCCGACCAGCGUCCCCCACCUCCACCGCCACCUCGUCCAACCCUCGGCCUCCAACCGCCGCCGCCGCAACAGCCGCCGCUACUGCCGCCCUCGCCGCCGCUGCCAGCAGCGGAGCAGCAGCAGGAACAGAAGCAGCUGCCGCGGGGCCCGUCUGCCUCGCAGUUGCAGCUACGGCCAUCGGUAACGGGAUCGCUGGCGUCCAGGCUGGGAGCCGUAACCAUGGAGAUUCAGCAGUACGGCAGUACGCAAGUCAUGCCCAUGGAUGCCGUACGGAAUUGCUUUUCGAAGCUUCUAGUGGUGCGUUUUCGUUAUUGCUGUGUCAUCCUGUCUUGUCUUAUCUUUCUUGGGGUGUUACACUGUGGGCGGUUCGUCCCGAGAAAGGGCGAGCACCGGGGGACCUGACCGGGCCGAAACACAGCGCAGGGGCGGGCGCGCGGCUCUACGUCCGUCUGUUCCUCCGCGCGCGCCUUAGACCCUCACUCACGCCAACCGGGGUGCUUUCCCAGCCCCUGGCUAGGCAACACAGCGGUGCAGAAGACUGCGAGCCGAACUAAGCGAGAGCCGCACGAAAGGCGCCACAUCACCUCUGGAAACCCUAAACAGGCUAUCUGCCCCCACUUCGCCUGGCCAGUCUACUCGCGCGCUCUCUCCCCUCUAGACCACCAAAACUAUGGCUCUGCAAUGAUUUUCAAGGGCUGCCUCUUCCCCUAGUGUGCACACACAUUACCGUCUGCAACGAAUGCUCCAUAAAAGCAGCUCCAAGCCGCGUCGCCAGUAUGUUACUUCAUAGCCUUGCCAGCUGGAGCAAACCUGUGUUCCCUACGGCACCCAACAGUCCAGUUGAACAUCUACGGCCGACUUUGAAUGGCGCCAGGCUAGAGGAGCAGAUUUCUUCGUUAUGAUUUUGGAGUGAGCCCCCUUGCAUCACAGACAUGAUUCUGCAGAUUAUCUUUCAUACGCAAUCCCGUCUCGUCCGAUCAGGGCAAUGGGCUCCUGCAGAGACUAAACGCACAAUCGAGAUUUUAUCGCACUUUUGUGAAAAGGCGG
rnacentral:lncRNA from 1 species